rnacentral:lncRNA from 1 species
CUGGAUUCCUCAUUUCUCUAGCUUCCGAGGGCGAUUGUUGUUCCUCCAGUGGGGAUUCUGGUUCUUUCGGUUCGGCAUCUAGUUGUCAGACUUGGGACGAUGAUCCACCUUCAAAGAAUAGUGUAUGUGGAGGUGUUUGCAUCAAGAACGGCAACAGUGUUUGAAACCCAUACGUUGGUGGGGAUUGGUAAAAAGGAGAGCUCUCCGACGACCCCCUUUGCGAUCCCUCGUGCGUCGCUGGCCUAUACAUCAGCGGUCCGCUCGGCAUAACAGGAAAUGGAGCUGAACCGGGCAUUUGGCUCCAACCUGCCAUAGGACUCGGAAAAGGAUACAUAUAAGGGUUAGGGUACAUAUAAGGGCUUGGAAACGCACCUGGCAUCAUCUGAAAAGGCGGUUGCGUGGGUAUCAUUAGUUGAACUACUGCGUCGGUGCUCUCGUUGGGCCUGGUAAUCUUAUGGCCGCUGAUGAUGAGCUGGGUGAAUGUCUGGGCCUCUUUGAGGGGCUGCCUUCAUCUUGUCGUCUUGGAUUUAGAGGCCCGCGCCUUACCCUUUCGACAAGUAUUUGCCGCUGCCUCUCCUCUGACAUCAGUAAAUACGGCUUGCCAUGUAUCCUAAACCAUGGCAUGUAUUCUAGAACGCAAGAUAACUCCGGAACGGUGAUUAGUUCCCGAGUAGGUAGAUAUUCAUACCGAUCUUCCCACAUUUCCAUGUACUCAGACCAGUAUCUCGUCC